GACGAACGCUGGCGGCGUGCUUAACACAUGCAAGUCGAACGGAAAGGCCUGCUUUCCCUUGUGUAUUGCGGGUACUCGAGUGGCGAACGGGUGAGUAACACCUGAGUGAUCCUCCCCCAACUUUGCUAUAAGCCUGGGAAACUGGGGCUAAUUCCCGAUUGGACCGCAGGGUGGGUCCUGAAGUUGAAAACGAUUUUCUAGUGGUUGUGGAUGAGCUGGCGGCCUAUCAGCUUGUUGGUUGGGUAAUGGCCUACCAAGGCGGGGACGGGUAGCCGGCCUGGGAGGGUCGACGUGAGAAUUGGGACUGAGACACGGCCCAGACUACUACGGGAGGCAGCAGUGGGGAAGCUUGCGCAGUGAGCGGAAGACUGAUGCAGCGAGGCCGCGUGGGGGAUGACGGGUUUCGGGUUGUAGCCUCCUUUCGACAGAGAGGAAGCGACCUGGUUGGAAGGGUGGUGACGGUAGUGGUAGAAGAAGCACCGGCUAACUACGUG
rnacentral:rRNA from 1 species